CCUACGGGAGGCAGCAGUAAGGAAUAUUGGUCAAUGGACGAAAGUCUGAACCAGCCAUGCCGCGUGAAGGAUUAAGGCCCUCUGGGUUGUAAACUUCUUUUAUCUGGGACGAAAAAAGGGUAUUCUUACUCACUUGACGGUACCAGAGGAAUAAGCACCGGCUAACUCCGUGCCAGCAGCCGCGGUAAUACGGAGGGUGCAAGCGUUAUCCGGAUUUACUGGGUUUAAAGGGUGCGUAGGUGGGCUUGUAAGUCAGUGGUGAAAUCUCCGGGCUUAACCCGGAAACUGCCAUUGAUACUAUAGGUCUUGAAUUAUCUGGAGGUAAGCGGAAUAUGUCAUGUAGCGGUGAAAUGCUUAGAUAUGACAUAGAACACCAAUUGCGAAGGCAGCUUUACUACGGAUAUAUUGACACUGAGGCACGAAAGCGUGGGGAUCAAACAGGAUUAGAUACCCUGGUAGUCCAGCCCUAAACGAUGGAUACUCGACAUCAGCGAUACACUGUUGUGUNUGAGNGAAGACAUAAGUAGUACCGUACCGUACGGAAGGUACGAGUCGCGAAGUAAGUUAGUUAACGUUACGUAAAGUUAAGUUAGUAGCGNGNGAGAGCGACGACGACGACGAGGAGGAGGNGG
rnacentral:rRNA from 1 species